rnacentral:rRNA from 1 species
AUUGAACGCUGGCGGCAGGCCUAACACAUGCAAGUAGACCUGAGUUGCGAACAGGUGAGUAACGCGUAGGAACCUGCCUCAUAGCGGGGGAUAACUAUUGGAAACGAUAGCUAAUACAGCAUACUGUGAGAUGGACCUGCGUUGUAGUAGCUAGUUGGUGAGGUAAAGGCCUACCAAGGCGACGAUCCGUACCUGGUCUGAUAGGAUGAUCAGUCACACUGGAACUGGGACACGGUCCAGACUCCUACGGGAGGCAGCAGUGGGGAAUAUUGGACAAUGGGCGAAAGCCUGAUCCAGCCAUGCGGCGUGUGUGAAGAAGGUCUUCGGAUUGUAAAGCUCUUUAAGUUGGGAGGCGUUACCAAAAGAAUAAGCACCGGCUAACUUCGUGCCAGCAGCCGCGGUAAUUC